CGGCGGACGGGUGAGUAACACGUGGGUAACCUACCUAUAAGACUGGGACAACUUCGGGAAACCGGAGCUAAUACCGGAUAAGAUAUCGAACCGCAUGGUUCGAUAGUGAAAGAUGGUUUUGCUAUCACUUAUAGAUGGACCCGCGCCGUAUUAGCUAGUUGGUGAGGUAACGGCUCACAAGGCAACGAUACGUAGCCGACCUGAGAGGGUGAUCGGCCACACUGGAACUGAGACACGGUCCAGACUCCUACGGGAGGCAGCAGUU
rnacentral:rRNA from 1 species